UAAAUACCCCCUCCGUUCCGAAUUACUUGUCGCAGGUAUGAAUAUAUCUAGAUGUAUUUUAGUUCUAGAUACAUCCAUUUCUGCGACGAGUAAUUUAGAACGGAGGGAGUAUAAG
rfam:Triticum aestivum genome assembly, contig: Triticum_aestivum_CS42_TGACv1_scaffold_571800_7AS